rnacentral:lncRNA from 10 species
CAGGAUCUAGCUCUGCUAUUUGGUUUGGAUAUUGGAAUUGCACUAUCACAUAGAAGUUAUGGAGCAAUUUCUUGCUGAAGACCACACUCACUCAAAGUCUGUUAGAUCGACAGUUGCAUUGCACUCAGAGUUCAGAAGGGUGAAUGUUUGAUUUUGGAAGAGAAUACUACUUGCUUCCCUUAUCUUGUACUUGAUUAAUUUGGCCUGGGAAAGAAUUUCUUCAUGGUCUGAGACAGCCUCUGUUGCCCAGGCGGGAUCACAGCUCACUGUAGCCUCAAACUCCUCAAGUGAUCCUCCUGCCUUGGCCUCUCAAAGC